rnacentral:rRNA from 1 species
UACAGAGGGGGCAAGCGUUGUUCGGAAUUACUGGGCGUAAAGGGCGCGUAGGCGGCCUGCUAAGUCGAACGUGAAAUCCCCGGGCUCAACCCGGGAACUGCGUCCGAUACUGGCAGGCUUGAAUCCGGGAGAGGGAUGUGGAAUUCCAGGUGUAGCGGUGAAAUGCGUAGAUAUCUGGAGGAACACCGGUGGCGAAGGCGGCAUCCUGGACCGGCAUUGACGCUGAGGCGCGAAAGCCAGGGGAGCAA